CAGCAGUAGCCACGGUAAUACAGAGGGUGCGAGCGUUAAUCGGAUUUACUGGGCGUAAAGCGUGCGUAGGCGGCUUCUUAAGUCGGAUGUGAAAUCCCUGAGCUUAACUUAGGAAUUGCAUUCGAUACUGGGAAGCUAGAGUAUGGGAGAGGAUGGUAGAAUUCCAGGUGUAGCGGUGAAAUGCGUAGAGAUCUGGAGGAAUACCGAUGGCGAAGGCAGCCAUCUGGCCUAAUACUGACGCUGAGGUACGAAAGCAUGGGGAGCAAACAGGAUUAGAUACCCCCGUAGUCCCUGUCUCUUAUAA
rnacentral:rRNA from 1 species